rnacentral:rRNA from 1 species
UACGUAGGGGGCAAGCGUUUUCCGGAUUUAUUGGGCGUAAAGAGCGUGUAGGCGGCCAGACAGGUCUGCUGUGAAAACUCGAGGCUCAACCUCGAGACGCCGGUGGAAACCGUCUGGCUAGAGUCCGGAAGAGGAGAGUGGAAUUCCUGGUGUAGCGGUGAAAUGCGCAGAUAUCAGGAAGAACACCCGUGGCUAAGGCGGCUCUCUAGUACGGUACUGACGCUGAGACGCGAAAGCGUGGGGAGCGAACAGG